rnacentral:rRNA from 1 species
ACGUAAGGACACAAGCGUUAUCCGGAGUUACUGGGCGUAAAGGGCGUGUAGGCGGAUCAAUAAGUCUAUUCUGAAAGCUCCUGGCUAAACUGGGAGAGGCGAAUGGAGACUGUUGGUCUAGAGUGAGGAAGAGGAAAGUGGAAUUCCGCGUGUAGUGGUGAAAUGCGUAGAGAUGCGGAGGAACACCAGUGGCGAAAGCGGCUUCUGGUCCUUAACUG